UUCAUGGAGGCUCAUGAAUUUCUAAAAGCAUGUAAGUAAUUACUAGAGUAUAAAACAUACAAUAAGCAGGGGGUUUCAGAAGGGAAAACAGUUCUGUCAAUGACUAGUCCUAUGGAAUAGCCAUGAACAGCCUUCUUGGAACCCAGGUUCCCUCAUCUACAAUAUAGAAUAUAAUGUUCCCUGCUUCCGGCAUUAUAAAUACAAAGAGAGCCAGCAUGUAGGAAGAGCCUCGGGCUGGUUGAGUGGCUCCUAAAUGAGCACUACUGUCAUCAUUGGGAACCCCAACUGAGAAAAUAUUUCUGAGACUGGGCUGUAGGCAAACAUAGACCAUUUUCUUUCUUUUUUUUUUUUUUUUUUUUUUUUUUUGGUUCUUUUUUUCGGAGCUGGGGACCGAACCCAGGGCCUUGCGCUUCCUAGGUAAGCUCUCUACCACUGAGCUAAAUCCCCAGCCCCGACCAUUUUCUUAUAUGUUCUUUUGUGUGAGGCCCAGCCAAGUACGAGUGCUGACACUCCUGGGUUGAUUCUGGGUUCCAUAAAAAUGCAAGCUUAGCAAACUGUGAAGAGCAAGCCAGUAGCAGCACCCAUCCAUGGCCUCUGCAUCAGCUCCUGACUCCACAUUCCUGCCCUGUCUGAAUUCCUGUCUGAGUUCCUUCAAUGAUGAACAGUGAUGUGGAAGUAUAAGCUGAAUAAACCCUUUCCUGCCCAGUCUCCUUGGCCAUAGUGAUCCAUCACAGCAAUGGCAACCAGCUAAGAGCAAACCCUUACAGCAUGUGUACAACCCUGCAGCAUCCUGCCUUAGCUAUCUCUGUCCCCACCUUCCUCAAAGAAAACAAAUGGUUUCUCUGUCCUAAAGUGGUUCAAGGCAAAAUCUUUGACAUCCAGUUUCUUCCUAGAGGACUUUCACCUAUGACCUGAAACACAGAGUUGAAGCCCUGGUCUUCCUGGAACAAAAUAGUUCUCAAAUGUUUGAGAACAUGAAAUCACAAAUGUCAGUUCCUAGGAAAACCUUGUCCUUGGCAAUCUCUGAUUUGGGGGACUGAGACUUGGGGCUGCACAUUUUACAUUCAGGUACACACACACAUACACAUAUACGCACACACACACACACACACACACACGCACACGCACGCGCACACACACACACACAAAUACAGUGCCAAAUUUGGCAAGAAUAUGGAGAAAGUGAAUGUCCUGUAGAUAGCCAGUACUGAUGGAAAACAGUACAGCCACUUCUGAAAACGUUGGCAGUCGUUUCUUUAAAGCUAGGCAUAUAGUUGGCAUGCUGUCCAACCACACAGAAAUCUCCAAGUCAACAACCACACGGCUUUAUAGUCAUCCCAAACUACAGCACACCUAGCAGUAAGAUGUAAUGAAGUGUUGAUCAUCACAACGACAUGGCGGGCCUCGAGUGCAUUAUACUGAUAAGAAGUCACACCCACUGAAGGAUUCCAUUUCCAGAACACUUUGACAUGACAGACUGAAAACACCCUGACCAACAGUGCCUUAUGGAAGGAAGUGUUUAUUUUGGCUUAUGCAGAGGGAUAGGAGUCCAUCUUGGAGGGGAGGCAUGGUUGACAGUGACAGACAUGAGAGCUAGAACAGGAAGCAGAGAGAAAACAGGAAGUAAGACUGCACAAUCAAAGCCCAGCCCCAGUGACACACUUCCUCGAGCAAGGCUCUACGUUAAAGGUUCCACAACUCCCCCCAGCAGCAUCACUACCUAGGGACUAAAUGUGCACAUGUGUAAACUCAUGGGGAACACUGGUCAUUCAAGCCACCAUGUGGGUUGAGGACGACAGCUCCAAGCUGAGUGGGUGAUAUGUCAAGAUGGCGCAGUGCAAAGGAGACUUUCAGGUUGACAGAAGCAUUUUGGGUCUUAACUGCAGAAGCGACCAUAUAAAUCUCCCACACAGGGUACUAGAAUCAGUGUCCUGAGAGAACUUUGGAACAUCCUCAGACUCUGCAAUCACUGACAUCUGGGCCAGCAGCCGGCAGUGAAUCAAUCAGGAUCUCUGAGGGUGGAGAACAGAUAUUAGCAUUUGCCAAGUUCUCCAGUGAUGACUUAGUGCAACCAAGGUCAAGGUCUACUCCUACAAGGCCUUUCGUAGCUUCUGUGAGCGAGCAGCAGAGCCGUGGAGGCACAGCGCAGCAGGCUGUGUCCACUGCAGCAGCACAGUGACAGGAUUCUAAAGCCUUGACCCUGGGCCAAGUGAUACUUCCUAACGGCUGCUGCCUCCCUCAGUCAGUGUGGGCAUGAGCCCUGCGUGUCCUGUAGAGAAGCACGUGGAUUCAAAUCCGGCUGAGGAAUGCCCUGGCUUUGGAAAGAAAGCACCACACAUCUGGUUUGAUCACUACUGCACACAUACACCUAGGACAUCACAAAUAAAUGACUAAAUAUGGCCCCUAUUUUAAGACCAGGUAAAGACAAUUCCAUCAGCUACACAACGCACUGCAGAAUACAACUUGGCUCCCUUUGUUAUCAUGUGCUAACUGGGAGCUGUGGCUUGCUGCCACCCCCAAGCCUCAUUUGACUAUCCACAGCACAGGAUGAAAAACCAUGGUGAAAAACCAAAAUGCAAACUGUGAGGUAUGGCUCCCAUUAAACACGCACCGUUUUGUACCACUGUACAACAGAAACAUUGUGGGGCUGGGAGAUAGCUCACCUGAUGAAGUGCUUGUCUUGCUGUUCUGGAAUAGUUUCCUCCCAGAUUAAAAUGUUCCAUCCUGCAAGGAAGCUCUUUCAGCAGGAAGGCAACCAACUCAAAAUAGCUUUAGGAAGUCCCUGAAAUCAACCAGAUUCACUAGGUCCCUCCCCUCCAGAGUAAGCAAUAAAAGCUGAGCAUUCCUCUCAGACUGAAUGAAGCUAAACUGCAAAGAAGACUCAGAGAAGAGAAAAGCUGAGACCAGACCAGCUGACCGCAAGAAGCAAGCACCAGCCAAGCUGCCUGGAGCGGGGUUUAGACCAACUGAGGCACCUGAAAAGGUCACUUUCUAACACAUUGAGCUGCCUGCAAGCUGUGCAGUGUGCUCCAGGCUCCCAGUUCUGUGAACUGUCACCCAUCCGGGAGUGGGUUGUGGUGACACAGCUGCCCUUGAGUUGUCCCUAAUCAUGUAAGUGACCCCUCACCCAUACUUCUGUAAGCAACCCCACAAAAACACAUUGUUCAC